rnacentral:rRNA from 1 species
CCUACGGGAGGCAGCAGUGAGGAAUAUUGGUCAAUGGCCGGAAGGCUGAACCAGCCAAGCCGCGUGAAGGACGAAGGUGCCAAGCAUUGUAAACUUCUUUUGUCAAGGGACAAAAUCAGGCUCGAGAGCCUGACCGCGGGUACUUGAAGAAAAAGCAUCGGCAAACUCCGUGCCAGCAGCCGCGGUAAUACGGGGGAUGCGAGCGUUAUCCGGAUUUAUUGGGUUUAAAGGGUGCGUAGGCGGACUGUUAAGUCAGCGUGAAAAUCCCGGGGCUCAACCCCGGCGUGCCGUUGAAACUGGCUGUCUUGAGUGGGCGAGAGGUAUGCGGAAUGCGCAGUGUAGCGGUGAAAUGCGUAGAUAUUGCGCAGAACACCGAUUGCGAAGGCAGCAUACCGGCGGCGAACUGACGCUGAGGCACGAAAGCGUGGGUAUCGAACAGGAUUAGAUACCCUGGUAGUC